rnacentral:lncRNA from 1 species
GAGGUAGUGGUGAUAGGCUCAGUGGCCAGAAUAGUACUGGAUUUGGCCAUUUAGAAAGAAUGUGAUGCAAAUAAGAAGUUAUGGAAGGGAGAUAAGCAAAAAUAGCACUCAAGUGACAGUACAGGGGAGGAAAAUGGUGCAGAUUGGGUAAGAGAUAAGCUUGCCGGAAAUUGCCUUGCCGGAGAAUUUGAAAGCAAAGAGUCAGUAAAAGUGAUAAUGAGGGGGGAAGGGGAGUUUUUAUAAGGAGU